GGGCGGGGCUCACAGAGGCUCCGCCCCCGCGGGCUGCCACCUGGGGCUCGCCCGGCGAAGCGGCUCACGAGACGGGGUGCCGCGCGUCCGCGUCCUGCCCGGACGAUGUCCUUGGGCUCCGGCUGCCCGCGGCCUCGCUGCAAAGAGCCAGUGGACGCCCGCCCGCGCGCGGACCAUCCCAGAUGCUCCGUUACUGUUUUUCGUGCAUGGGCUCAGUCUUGAGCAUAUCGCUAUGACACUAGAUACCAUUGAAGAAUGACCUCCAACAACAUGGAAAUGAACGAUAAUGAUAAGUACAAGAGCCCAGACAGUGAAUCUCUGUGGAAUAUGGACGCAGAAGCCAGUGCUGGGAAGAAAUUCACCAUUCCAAAGAUCAGGAGGACGACUGAAAAAGUUUACUUGUCGUCUUGUUACACCAAUACUAGAGAGUAUGGUUUCAUACAUGGCACUCUGAAGCAGUGCAGGCUGGAUAUGAGCUGUGACCUGCAGUUCACAUGGCAGUUUGGGGAAACAAAACUGGUUCGAAAUGAAUAUCUGGAAAAACAGUUUGCUGCUAAGAGGUCAGAGAUGCGUGAGGGUGGAAGACACAGCAGAGAACUGGAAGAACAUUUCUGCUUUCUGGCACUUCCUCAGGCCGAUGUGAUGGAUGUUUACCAGAAUGGGCUAAGUGUCGGAACGUCCCCACUGAGAAUACUUGGGAAUCCUCUUCUUGGAGUGUAUCUGUGUAGACAUGUUGACAUUGCCCUGAGCCAUGCUUGCAGUAGAAGCGUGGCUGUAGAAAGUAUUAUGAUUUUUAAGGUUCUCUUUGGGAGAAUAAAGAAGAUUCAACCUUCUAUGGAUAAAAACAAAGUUUCUCUGGAUCCUUCUCCUAACUUUGAUUGCCAUAUGUCAAGAAAUAUGCCUUCUCUGAAAGAUACCAUUGAGCUACAAGCCUACAAUUCAAUGGUGUACUUCUAUGAGUAUGAUUACUUUUCAAGACCAGUAGAUAAACCUAGGCAAUGUCUUCCAUAUGCAAUAGUAACAGUGAAAUGUAUUGGUCAAAAGGCAGGUAAUGGACAGCUUAUAACAUCACUGAGAUUCUCCUCAACAGGAUUUCCUAAGAGGCUUGAAAGAGCAUGUUCUCUGAAUAACUGUACAAUUGCUAAAAGAAUUGGAAAAGGAAAAGAUGCUACAGUCAUCUUUGAACACUUCAGGAAACCUGUGGAUCCAUUUGUUCAGGAAAAUUGUCCAUGAAUGCUUUGCAACAAAACAGACAAGAAAAGAUGGAGACACCCGUUACAGAACCUGGGGAGGACAGCAGUCAACCUGGGGUUUCUGAGCAGACACCUCCAGGUACAGAGUGCACAGUAAAAAACAUUUCAGACUCCUCUAAAAAGCGACCUGUGACUGCAGACACAUGUGAAGUCUCUCAGGGAAAAGGAAAUACAGACACUGUUCCCAGUUGGAAAAAACAAAAGGUUACCAUGAAAGAUGUUGGAAAUAUACAGACAGUAUCCAAACAUCCAAGCACUACAGGAUCUCCUCCCAAUGAUGAAAACAAAAUAGGAUCAAAUUCCUCUGACAGUCUGAAAAGCAUCUCUGCAUCUCCAGAAGUGGUCAAAAGACAGAGCUCAGUACUUGGUUCAGUGUCACCUGCUGAAAGUGUACAAGACACUUGCACACCAAAGUCAGAAAGCAAAGUAGAGCCAACAGACAGCUUACCUGAUUCUUUAGCAUCUCUCACUGAACAGCAGGAAAACUCAAAUGUCAUAGAGAAAAGAAAUGGGAAUUCUAGUGUGGCUGAAACAAAUGAUAAGAAAGACUGUCCUUUAGUAACUUGUGACCAAAAGGAUAUAGAUGCCUCUUACUCACCUGACCACACACCUGCACAGGAAUCCCAUAAAACCCCUGUGGAUCACACACAGAUCUCUCCUUCAAACCUAACAGCAGGAAAUGAUGACCCUCUUGUGCCUGAUGCAUCUCUGCUCUCAGUGUCUGCUUCCCAGUCAGAGAAGGACGUUUAUUUGAGUGGCACAGACUUUCACCAUGAAAAUAAUAAAAUACUAAAUUUGUCUACUGAAGAUUGUACAGGCACCAGCUCUCCAGAACCUGUGUGUAUCAAGGACAAAAUUUCUGUCCUGCAAGUAGAUAAAACACAGCCUAUAAAAAGUGAAUCGCCAAAAAAAAGUAUGACUGAUGCUCCAAAUCCCAAUACUGCACCAUUUGGCUCAUAUGGGAACUCAGCCCUUAAUGUGAAUGGAACAGUACAGCACACUCACUCUGAACAGAAUUCAAAAGUCCUGACUCAGAAAGUUGGCACAUCCAGGAAUAUACCUCCACAGUCUGCAUGUUCUCCAGUACAUAACUCUUCUGCACAUUCAUUUGGAACUUCAUAUCCAUACUACUCUUGGUGUUUCUAUCAGUACAGCAGCAGCAAUGGCACUGCUGUUACUCACACAUACCAAGGGAUGACAGCAUAUGAGAUACAACAGCCUCCUCCUCCAGUGUUGACUACAGUUGCAAGUACUGUUCAGAGCACACAUUUCAAUCGUUCAUACUCUGAACAUUUUAGUUACUUUCCUGGACAGCCACAAGCAAAUUCCUUUAACCCAGGAAACGGGUAUUUUCCAUCUCACACGCCUGUUUCUUACAAUUACCAACAACCAGUUUAUUCACAGUUUGCUUCUCAUCAACCAGUCCCACAGGCUACAUAUCCUUAUCCGCCUAACCCAGGUGCGCCUCCUCAAGUUCCUUGGACUUAUGCUCCAUGGCAACAGAAUCCGUUUCUACGAAGGCCUUAAAAAUAAAUCUCUUCAUACUGAAAUAAAUGCAACUUAAGUUUUCUCAAGUAUUUUUUGCCUACAUGUUUUUUUAUGCCUGCAUAUUUUCUUACUUUAGUAUUUGAUAAUUUUAAAUGUAUGUAAAUGUAGUAUAUGAGAUAAUUCUUAUAAAAUGUAAUUAUAAUAGUGUAUCACAUAAGAUACUACAAAAUUAAUUUUUAACAUCAGAAAUAAGCAAAAUUACUUCCAUGCAGUUAUAAAGAGGCUUGUUCCAAUGUUCAAUAUUAUCAGCAUUGAGCAGCAAUGACAGAAAUCUUUAAAAGCAGAAUUUGUUUCUGUUUUCAAUGCACUUUGAUUUACCAUUUUAUUGGGCUUAAAAAGAGUAAAAAAUUUUUGGUCAAUCGUUAGACCAGUAAUUUGAUAAUUCUUGAUGCUCUAUUUAUAUAGUUUGUAAUCAUUCUACAUCAUGGUGAGCUCUUUUAUGUAUAUCAUUUUACUCAAAAUUUAUCAAAAAAAAUAGUUUGUAUAUUUUCACUGUUUCCUUAAAGUAUAGUUAGAAGUCAGAGAUAUUUUCCACAAGACACCCUCUCAAGAUUAUUUCUUGACUAUUUGAAUAGUGGGUCUGAUUUUUUAACACUUCAUCUGUUUGCUCAUAAUUUAGCCCAUUUUAAAGUGAUUGGAGUAAUUCUACAGUAAAUUUAAUGUUCAAGGUGUUUUCCUCUUCCACAAGGUGACCUUUUGCUUAGUAGUAAUCAUUAUGACCAAACAAGAUCUAGAACCUAGUAGUCUGGAGCAGUCUGUACACUGACCCUUACUGUACUCCAGCAACCAUCUGUGUUGUCCCCAGUAAGGAAAAGUCUUCAACACUGAGUAAACCCUUGUCAGCUUGUAGUUUGCCCUGCUAUAUACAAAAUGCUAAACCAAUAUAUGUAGCAGUUCUCAUGUUUUUUCAGACUUUUGGGUAAACUUUGUAUUACACAAGCCUCCAAAGAUCAUGUAUGUCUGCCUUGUUUGAUAAAGACUAAUUCAAGUUUCAAUUCACAAAGACUUCCGAGACUCCCUGAGAAAAAGCCUCUGUAGGGACAUUAAGCCAAUAGGAUGGAAGUUGUGUCAACAUACAAACUUCAAAGAACACUGUCAGGACAGAACCAUAACUGCAAGAGGUGGGGAAUCUGAAAGGGUGACAGUAACUGCAGUACAUGUCUGCAUAGCUGUUCUGUUUUAAAACAGUAUCAGAACCAGCACUCAUGACCAUAUGUGAAAGCUAUACAUUAGCUGUCAACCAAGAAAUAACCUUUCCAAAUCCUGCGUAUCUAGCUUUGAAAAAAUGAUCAUGACAUUUAUUAUUAGAAAUGCCUCUUUUAGUUGAGUAUGGUGACACUUAAUCCCAGCCCUUGAGAGUUGGAGGCAUUUGGAUCACAAAGUUCCAGACCAUCCAUAACUGCUAACAUGCAAAGGCUAAGCCUAAGGUACAUUAAAUCCUGUCUCAGAAACUUGUUAGAUAAGCCAAAAGCAACUAUUCCAGUUAAAUAGUCCUUUAAAGAGUUUACAGAUUCUAAUAAUACUAUCUUUGUGAAAGUUUUGUUGGUUUUAAUUUCUAAAAAAAAAAAAAAACAAACAAAAAAAAAACAUGUUUGAGGAUAGAGCUCAAUUGGUAGCAUGGUUUCCUGGCAUGCACAGAGCUCUUGGUUUGAUCCUUAGCAGCACAUAAGCUGGGUAACACAUGGCUGUGACUGCAGCACUCAGGAGGUAGGACCAGGAGGACAUUUAAGGCCAUACUCGGCUUCAUAACAAAUUUGAGGCCAACCUGAGGUAAGAAAACCCUAUCUGGGGAGGGAAAAAACUACCUGAAUACUGGAGUUACAUUUGAAAAUCUGGGGGUGGUUUUGUUUUGUUUUUGUAUUCUCUUAUAAAGAUUUUAUUUAUUUGUUUAUUUAUUUAUUUAUUAUAUGCAAGUACACUGUAGCUGUCUUCAGACACACCAGAAGAGGGCAUCACAUUCCCAUUACAGAUGGUUGUGAGCCACCAUUUGGUUGCUGGGACUUGAACUCAGGACCUCAGGAAGAGUAGUCAGUGCUCUUAACUGCUGAGCCAUCUCUCCGGCCCUUGUUUUGUUUUUUUAAUUAAACAUGAUGUUUUUAUUCUAAAAGUAAAAAUUAGAACAAACUAAAAUUGCCUUAAAAAUUAUAAACAAAAAUGACCUGUUUAUAAAUACCAUUUUGGAACAUGAAGAGCUAUCCGAAUAAACUGGUUUCUUCUGAUAUAGUAUUUCUUUUAAAAUACAAAUGGCUCCUGCUUUACACAUAACUCACUACAUGGAAGAAAAACUACAAAAAGGAACUUGUGAGUAAGUAAAUCUCACUGCCUGUGCCUGCCCACUCAUGCUUUUCUCCCAAUACCACUCAGCUUAAAAGUGCUUCAUUAUUGCCUGGACAGGGUUUCUCUGUGUAGCCCUGGCUGUCCUGGAACUCACUCUAGACCAGGCUGGCCUCGAACUCAGAAAUCUGCCUACCUCUGCCACCCAAGUGCUGGGAUUAAAAGCAUGUGCCACCACUGCCCAGACUGAGUUUAGAGUCUUAACAGUCAGGAGGGCCUGGGGAUGGAGAAGUGGCAGGAAAUCUUAAAAGCCUAGAGAAAUAAGAAAUAUAGAAAAUAAAGACCAUAUCUCUAACCCUACUCCAAACAGGUGAAGCCAGAGCCACUAUGAGACAAGCCUGGCACUUCCAGUUAUGGGCAAUUUUAGCCAUAGGAGAAACCUGUAAUUCUCACAAGUCUUAAAUCCAGUGCAGGGACUUGGUGUUACAGUGCAGGAUGACAUUAGUAAAGAAACUAUUUUGUGUCUGAAGGCUUAGUGCUUGAGGUCAGCACUAUCUUGGGAAGGAGCCUAUGUCUUAAGCUGAGGUAAGGACCUGAAAAAAUAAUGUAAGUCUGGGAUCCUGGUACUCCCUUGGAUGGGAGACAGUCACAAGAGACAGAUCACUCCAUGCAGAAUACAGAGUUUAGGUUAGUAGGGAGUCUGCCCUAUGCAGUGUUCCAUGUUAGGUGACUCCAUCAUCUGCAUAUUAUAGCAAAUGGAGCUACAAGUCUGUGGCCUCAAAUUACAUAGCUUCCAGAACUGCGUCCAUACCAUAGUAAUUGGUUUACUACUGAGAUCUCUGCACCCAGAUCCCUUGGAUCUGAAUGAGCGCUUCUGCUCUGUCCUUUCCCGGUGAGGUUUCCUGCAAGGAGGUUAAGGUUGGGUUAAAGCACUAAGACCAACCGACAGAGUGCUGGGUGCCCUCCAUUAUUCCUCUUUGGUGUAGAAUUUGCUGCCAUUGGGUUCCCAUGCUUUAGAAUGCACUCAAAAGACUUCAGGUUGCAGCCAGGCAUGAUGGUGCAUGCCUUUAAUCCCAGCACUCUGGAGGCAGAGGCAAGCAGAUUUCUGAGUUCAAGACCAGCCUGGUCUACAAAGUGAGUUCCAGGACAGCUAGGGCUAUACAGAGAAACCCUGUCUCAAAAGACAAACAAAUUUAAAAAAAAAGAAUUCAGGUUGGAUGUUCUCUUCCCCACAGACCCCAGUGGAACCUCUAGCCUGAGUGGCAGCCAGCCUAGUCUACAGGCUACAAAGCACUUUGGGCCAGCUGAAAGACUAAGUGAAAUCUGAUGCUAUAUACUUUGGCCAGUCCAGCUCUCUGGUCCACAUGUACCGGAGGAACAGAGGAACUACAAACAUUCAUUUACAAACCACUACGACCACCCCAAGACUCGGGUCAUGAUAAUUAAACCAGGAAGAGACUUUUCGAGCCAUGCUUAUUUUCCUUUCUUUCCCUUUCCCCUUAAGGUAUUCAUUUUUAUUGCUCAUCAAGUACGGUUUUGUUUUGUAAUCAGAUUUCAUCUCUUGUUCUUUUCCUCUUGCUCACAUUUUUUUUUUCUUCUGUUGACUCUGGACUCUUGCUUCUUCUUUCCCUACCACCUCCUUUACAUUAUCUUUCUGCGUAUCUUUAUUAAUUUUAAAUGUCAUAUUUCCUUUAAACCUUUUUAUAGUUAUGGGAAUAUGGUACUCUUUAUGUUACUGAAUUUUUACACCUCGUUUUUAAUCCAGACCAGAUUAUGUUUUUUAGAAGAAGAAAAAGCAGGGGCUAGAGAGAUGGCCCUGCCAUUGAAGAGCACUGGUUGCUUUUCAAGAGGACCCUGAUUCAAUUCCCAUCACCCACAUGGCAGCUCACAACUGUGUGUAAUUCCAGUUCCAGAGGAUCUUGCACCCUCAUACAGACACACAUGCAGGGGAAACACCAAUAAACCUUUAAAGAUAAAAAAAAAUUUAAAAAUAGGAAAUAAAAAAGAAAGGAUAAGGAGCAAGGGACAGGAAAAGACAAUAUAGGGUAAGAACAGAACAAGGCCAAGCUAGCCUGCCCAAAGACCCAAGUUAAAGAUGGGAUAGUGGAGUGAGCUAGAUGGAGAUAAAGGAUACGAAACGUAACAAGUCUGAAUUGUUGGUUCUUGUCUGGAGUCUAUCAGGGUCCUUCCCUGCCACUCUGUUGCCUCUGUCCCUUUCUCUGGUGGUUGACUCUUCAGAUUACCAGGCCAUGGAUAUUGCUUUUCAGAUUUCCCCAGAUUAUAUUUUUGUUGGUUUUGGUUGGGUGAGGUUUUGGUUUGUUUUAGCUUUAUGUAUGUAAGUGUUUUCCUGUAAGUAUAUAUGUUCACCACAUGUGUGACUGGUGUUCUGCGGCAGCCAGAAGAGGGUGUCAGAUCCCCUGGAACUGGAAUUACAGAUAGAUGUGUACCACUAUGGUUCUAGCAACUAAACAAAAGCCCUUUGUAAGAACAAGUGCUCUUAACUGCAGAGCCAUUUCUCCAGUCACAAAUACAGCAUAUUUAGAUCAUACCAAGCUACCCCUACCUCCUUCCAAUUCCCCUGACUGACCCAUGUUACUACCAAUUUCAUGUCUGUCUUUCCCUUUGGUUUAUAAUCCAAAUUCAGCACAGAGCCAUCCACUGAUUAUGGGCCACUUAUCACAAACCAUGUUUCCAAAAGAGAGUAAUAGCUCUCUUUUUUUUUUUUUCUCUCCUUCGAGACAGGGUUUCUCUGUGUAGCCCUGGCUGUCCUGGAACUCACUCUGUAAACCAGGCUGGCCUUGAACUCAGAAAUCCACCUGCCUCUGCCUCCCAAGUGCUGAGAUUAAAGGCAUGUGCCACCAUGCCUGGCCUUUUUCUUCUGUAGCUACCAAUUCUUCUGCUAAAGGUGGAACCUUAGGGGGCCCAUGCUGGGAUUUUGCCAGGCUCAACCUUAUGCAAAGUACUCAGCAAGUAAUCACAGCUGCUGUGAGUUGAUGUGUGACAACCAUGUUAUAUCAGGAAGUCAACAUGUCACAGCUCUUCUCCCAAUCUGCCAGCUUUUACAUCCUUUCCAGUCCCUCUUCUGCGUUGAGGCUAUUACAGAUUCAUCUACAACUGAGCAUUCACAAUUACUUAUAAUUUUGAUCAGUUGUGAUUCUCACCAUUAACUACUAGCCGAACUGUUUUAUUUGAUGGACACUCUCUAGCCCAGAGCUCCCAAACUGUCUCCACCCAGGUCUCUAAGUUCCCACUGGUGGGUUGCUACCACACCAGCACCAUGCUUCAAAUCCCCCAUAGCGUUUGUGGUGCACAUCUUGCAAACCCAUGCUUUGCCCCCAUACCUAUCUCUCUUGAACCCAGUCAAACUUCUGCAUGAAGGAAAAUGCCACACAAACUUAGUUCAGAAACAAUAGUAACUCAAUAUCUGGGCCCAACAACUAAAACCUUAUCUUGUAAGCCCUAUUUAAUCUGAUUCCUCUGGUGGCCAAUCCUAAUCUAGAUCCACCAUGAUACAGGGAAACUCUAGCUACAUUUUGUCCUCGCGCUAUCCCAGUCCAAAAAGAACCUAACUCUCUUCUGCUUCCUCUCUUCCUCCUUCCCACCCAGAAGUCCUGCCUACUCGCCCAGUGAUUGGUUCCUUUAUUCAUUUGGAGAUUGGUUCACAAGAAGCCACCUGAGUAUGUGACUCAUUCGUCAUUCCAGACAACCUCUCCUGGGACAGCAGAAUUAACAUAAAAAUGCAAGCAGCACAGAGCCAUCCACAACAUAUUAGGUUUGUGGUCUUGCUUUGGCCCAGUAUUUCCUUACCAAGACAUUUUGGAAUGGUAAUAUAUAUCCUGCAUGAUAUGAUGUUGGAGGUAUGUGAUCAGCUUUUUUAUUUUGAUUUCUUCAACUUAGAGAUUGCAUGACUCUUAGAAUGACUUUUCACUUUGGACUUUUAACAUUUUGAGACUGUUAUAGACUAUGGAACUUUUGAGUUGAACUAAAUGUAUUUUUGCAUUAUGCUAUGCCUUGGUAUAUCCCCCAUAGAGUCAUGUGUUUGAACAAGUCUAUGGAGGCCAAGGAGUCAAAUGUGGUGGUUUGAACAAGCUUGGCCGAGGAAGUGGCACCAUUAGGAGUUGUAGCCUUGUUGGAGGAGGUGUGGCCUUGUAGAGAGUGUGUCAUUGUCCUGCUGGGCUUUAAGAACCUUCUCCUAGCUGCUUGAGGAAAGUCUGCUCCUACCUUCCUUUGGAUGAAGACAUAGAACUCUCAGCUCCUCUAGCACCAUGUCUGCUUGGACACUGCUGUGCUUCCUGCCAUGAUGAUAAUGGGCUGAAAUUCUGAACCUGUAAGCCAGCCCCAAUUAAAUGUUGUCCUUUAUAAAAAUUGCCUUAGUCAUGGUGUCUGUUCAAUACACUUCUUUGUUUGGUGUGUUAAAGUUUACAUUGUGGAGGUUUAACUUCCUUGGUUAGGGUUUUCCCUUCUUUAUUCUUCUUCAAGCUAUUAUGAAUAGUAUUUUUCUAUUUCUUUUUCUCAGAAAGCUUAUUGGUCUAUAUGGAGACUACUGAUUUUUUUUUGUAUGUUGAUUUUGUAUCUUAAAAUUUUACCAAAAAUGUUUACUAAAUCAAAGAGCUUUCUAGUAGAGAGUCUGUAGAAUCUUUUAAAUAUAAAAUCUUGCCAUCUGUAAAUGGAGA